CGAAGAACGCAGAUUUUGCCAUAUUAGGGUUUUCAGCGCCGUUUACUAUAUAUAUGUUAUAUUAACUUGUUUUGUACGACUUUCAGCAUAUUUUGAAAGAGAACAAUUGUCUAGUGAGUGCAUAUUGUGUAAGAGAGCAAAAAGUCCUAGAAAGUGUGAGUUGAGAUUGAAUGAUUGUAAUCUUUUCUAAUUUCUUCUGAUUAAUAAAAUU